AGAGUUUGAUCCUGGCUCAGGAUGAACGCUGGCGGCGUGCCUAACACAUGCAAGUCGAGCGAAGCACUUUGCUUAGAUUCUUCGGAUGAAGAGGAUUGUGACUGAGCGGCGGACGGGUGAGUAACGCGUGGGUAACCUGCCUCAUACAGGGGGAUAACAGUUAGAAAUGACUGCUAAUACCGCAUAAGACCACAGCACCGCAUGGUGCGGGGGUAAAAACUCCGGUGGUAUGAGAUGGACCCGCGUCUGAUUAGCUAGUUGGUAAGGUAACGGCUUACCAAGGCGACGAUCAGUAGCCGACCUGAGAGGGUGACCGGCCACAUUGGGACUGAGACACGGCCCAAACUCCUACGGGAGGCAGCAGUGGGGAAUAUUGCACAAUGGGGGAAACCCUGAUGCAGCGACGCCGCGUGAGUGAAGAAGUAUUUCGGUAUGUAAAGCUCUAUCAGCAGGGAAGAAAAUGACGGUACCUGACUAAGAAGCACCGGCUAAAUACGUGCCAGCAGCCGCGGUAAUACGUAUGGUGCAAGCGUUAUCCGGAUUUACUGGGUGUAAAGGGAGCGUAGACGGAUGGGCAAGUCUGAUGUGAAAACCCGGGGCUCAACCCCGGGACUGCAUUGGAAACUGUUCAUCUAGAGUGCUGGAGAGGUAAGUGGAAUUCCUAGUGUAGCGGUGAAAUGCGUAGAUAUUAGGAGGAACACCAGUGGCGAAGGCGGCUUACUGGACAGUAACUGACGUUGAGGCUCGAAAGCGUGGGGAGCAAACAGGAUUAGAUACCCUGGUAGUCCACGCC
rnacentral:rRNA from 1 species